AACCAGUCCUUCGGGACUGGGGACAGCGGCGAACGGGUGAGUAACACGUGGGUAAUCUGCCCUCGAUUCUGGGAUAGCCCGGGGAAACCCGGAUUAAUACCGGAUAGCCUCUCGAGCUUUCGAGCUUGUGAGAAAAGGUAGCUUCGGCCUCCGAUCGAGGAUGAGCCCGCGGCGGAUUAGCUUGUUGGUGGGGUAAUGGCCUACCAAGGCGACGAUCCGUAGCUGGUCUGAGAGGACGAUCAGCCACACUGGGACUGAGACACGGCCCAGACUCCUACGGGAGGCAGCAGUGGGGAAUCUUGCGCAAUGGGCGAAAGCCUGACGCAGCGACGCCGCGUGGGGGAAGAAGGCCUUCGGGUUGUAAACCUCUUUCAGCAGGGACGAAGCCACUCGGGUUAAUAGCCCAGAGGGUGACGGUACCUGCAGAAGAAGCCCCGGCUAACUACGUGCCAGCAGCCGCGGUAAUACGUAGGGGGCAAGCGUUGUCCGGAUUUAUUGGGCGUAAAGAGCGUGUAGGCGGCCAGACAAGUCCGUUGUGAAAACUAGAGGCUUAACCUCUAGACGUCGAUGGAAACUGUUUGGCUAGAGUCCGGAAGAGGAGAAUGGAAUUCCUGGUGUAGCGGUGAAAUGCGCAGAUAUCAGGAAGAACACCCGUGGCUAAGGCGGUUCUCUAGUACGGUACUGACGCUGAGACGCGAAAGCGUGGGGAGCGAACAGGAUUAGAUACCCUGGUAGUCCACGCCGUAAACGAUGGGUGCUAGGUGUUGGGGGGUGUCGACUCCCUCCGUGCCGAAGCUAACGCAUUAAGCA
rnacentral:rRNA from 1 species